rnacentral:misc_RNA from 1 species
UCUCCGUAGGUGAACCUGCGGAGGGAUCAUUACAGAGUUCAUGCCCUACCGGGUAGAUCUCCCACCCUAUGUUAUUAUUACUUUGUUGCCUUGGCGGGCCGUUAGGCUCCGGCCCGACUACCGGCCCCGGCUGGUAAGCGCCCGCCAGAGGACCCAAAACCCUAAAUAUUAGUGUCGUCUGAGUACUAUAUAAUAGUUAAAACUUUCAACAACGGAUCUCUUGGUUCUG